rnacentral:sRNA from 1 species
AUAGUGUUUCCUUGUUAGAAGAUACAAAGCCAAAGACUCAUACGGACUUCAUCUACACCAUCAAAGAUUUGAGAAGCAAGAAGAGGCUUGGUUAGUGUUGUGGAGUCA